CUCAAUAAAUUCUUUAUUGCGUACUCAUAAAUUUUACAAACGUAUAAAAUAACCAAUAAAUAAACCAAUAAACUGCAUACCUUCAUGUUCGUAGAUACACACGGGACUUUUAGUCGGAACAUUUUUUCCUGAAAUAAAAAUUUUACGAGCUAUACCAACGGCAACGGAGUUAUACGACUCUUCCUUGAGAACUUGCUGUGACAAAGCGGAUCCGAGACACAUUUCGCCGCGUUACGAGGAAAGAAAGGCUUGGGCAAAACGCCGCACCGCGCCAACGAGCGAUCUUCCAGGAGUUAAUUAAGGUCCAUUAAGCAUCCCUCGAAGGCCCCGAAGCUCCCGUCGAACGAGCUCCGCUCUUUGGUCGUCCGAAAGGACGCGACAUCGUAGAUUAAUCCGGAUAUCUGGUAGCCUAGUUUUUCUCGUCCGAUCGGAAGAAAAGGAAAGGAAGAAAGUGGCCGGCGCGGUAGCACGCGCGCGAGGCCGAGCCCCGUCGACGAGGACGCCGGACACCGUGACGAAGGGAGACAGAGAGAAAGGAAGAACGACUCGGUGGCGUGCGAACAGCAGGUGCACGACCUCUUCAUGAAAACCACCGCUCCUCGGGCCUGUCCUCCUCGUUCCUUGGCCACUCGUUCCAUCCUCGGCGGAGCGGUGCAUCCUCGUUCUCCUCUCAUCCUCUUCUCAUCCUCAUCAUCGUGCUUCUCUCAUUCUGUAGGUCCGCCGUCCUCGCGUCAACCACUUCCGAUUCUUUUCAUAAUUAGCGGCCGCUGAAAGAACGGCUUUAAUGCGUGCCGAUUAUUGUCGUUCGACGUCGCCCUUGCUAUUCUGACCGAUGUCAACUGCAGGAGAUGCAAAAACCAACGGCCGACGCGACGCCGAGCCCCUCUCGGUACAGGCUCCGGACCCCGCCUGUCAAUUAUAGGAAUAUCAUACUCCGUCGCGUACCAGGCUACCCCGACCUCGAUGAUUGUUAUUACGGCACUGGUAAAUUCGUACUCUUGUGGCGUGCACGAUCAUCCGGGAUUUCAACAAAAUCUCUUAAUACCGAUCACUUAAUUCCGCCACUCCCGGGGCCUGUAUUAUCGUAAUGCCGCUUGCCGCGUACACUUUCUGCAUAGGAAUUUAUCGCUAAUAAGUGGAAUUAACUUUGUCUAGUGAUAAUUGUGGUUGUACCGUAUGUUUUCCAACUUCUUGUCGCAUUUGACGACUUGCGAUCGCGAUUUACGUUUUACGUUCCUUGCGCGUACAUAGUUGUCAAGUCUGUGUCACAUCAGGCAGCAUAUUAUUGUAUAAAUAGUUUUAAUGUUGUUUAAAUAACAGGUACUGAUGAAUGAAGGAUAAGAAAUAUAUUUUGCAGUACUCCAUCUACACGUAUCCUAUGAUUUAGGAUAUAUAAGUUAAUACAAUUCUUAAAAGUUACUUUAACCCCACUUGAUUCUUUAAAUCCAAUUUCUUCAGGUCGAAACAAUAAGUUGUUAUGAAAAACGGUUGUAUUCCAGAACGUACAAACGACGAAACAACAGACAAUAUAGUUAUUAUGUUAUAGAGGUUCCACAUAAUAAAUAAUAAUGAAAACAAUAAAUUGUUACAGAAAGCUGUUGUAUUAUAGAAAGUAUAAACGAUCAUUUUGUUAGAUCUCGCGUAUAAUAAACAGUAAAGAAAAAUUGUACACAAAUUAAAUUGUUUCGAAAAACUGUUGUAUAGUAGAACGAACAAACUGCAGACAAUGCGCUCAUUGUUAAA